UCCGACUGAAACAUUUCCCACAAACUUCACACUCAUGAUUUCUUUCACCAGUGUGUGUAAGAGUGUGUAAUUUGAGGGUACCCUUCUGACUGAAACAUUUCCCACAAACUUCACACUCAUGAUUUCUUUCACCAGUGUGUGUAAGAGUGUGUAAUUUGAGGUUACCCUUGUGACUGAAACAUUUCCCACAAACUUCACACUCAUGAUUUCUUUCACCAGUGUGUGUAAGAGUGUGUAAUUUGAGGGUACCCUUCUGACUGAAACAUUUCCCACAAACUUCACACUCAUGAUUUCUUUCACCAGUGUGUGUAAGAGUGUGUAAUUUGAGGGUACCCUUGUGACUGAAACAUUUCCCACAAACUUCACACUCAUGAUUUCUUUCACCAGUGUGUGUAAGAGUGUGUAAUUUGAGGUUACCCUUCUGACUGAAACAUUUUCCACAAACUUCACACUCAUGCUUUCUUUCACCAGUGUGUGUAAGAGUGUGUAAUUUGAGGGUACCCUUCCGACUGAAACAUUUCCCACAAACUUCACACUCAUGAUUUCUUUCACCAGUGUGUGUAAGAGUGUGUAAUUUGAGGUUACUCUUCUUAAUGAAACAUUUCCCACAAACUUCACACUGAUGAUUUCUUGCAUCAGUGUGUGUAAGAGUGUGUAAUUUGAGGUUAUCCUUCCGACUGAAACAUUUCCCACAAACUUCACACUCAUGAUUUCUUUCACCAGUGUGUGUAAGAGUGUGUAAUUUGAGGUCACCCUUCUGACUGAAACAUUUACCACAAACUUCACACUCAUGCUUUCUUUCACCAGUGUGUGUAAGGGUGUGUUUCUUGAGGAUACCCUUCCGACUGAAACAUUUUCCACAAACUUCACACCUAUAAUUUCUUUCACCAGUGUGUGUAAGAGUGUGUAAUUUGAGGGUACCCUUGUGACUGAAACAUUUUCCACAAACUUCACACCUAUAAUUUCUUUCACCAGUGUGUGUAAGAGUGUGUAAUUUGAGGGUACCCUUCCGACUGAAACAUUUUCCACAAACUUCACACUCAUGAUUUCUUUCACCAGUGUGUGUAAGAGUGUGUAAUUUGAGGGUACCCUUCUGACUGAAACAUUUCCCACAAACUUCACACUCAUGAUUUCUUUCACCACUGUGUGUAAGGGUGUGUUUCUUGAGGGUACCCUUCUGACUGAAACAUUUCCCACAAACUUCACACUCAUGAUUUCUUUCACCACUGUGUGUAAGGGUGUGUUUCUUGAGGGUACCCUUCUGACUGAAACAUUUCCCACAAACUUCACACUCAUGAUUUCUUGCACUGAUGUGUGUAAGGGUGUGUGUGUUGAGGUGACCCCUCUGACUGAAACAUUUCCCACAAACUUCACACUCAUGGUUUCUUGCACCAGUGUGUGUAAGGGUGUGAUGUUUGGGGUUACUCCUAUUACUAAACCUUUUGCCACACUCCCGACUUUCAUGAGGUCUUACACCAGAGUGUGUGGGUGUAUUUGUUGAGGUCAUCCUUCCCUGCAUGUCUUUUCUCACACUCUUGGCUUUGGUCAGUAAACUUGCUCUCAUUCUCAGAUCUUCUCACACUUCUGAAAUUCAAACUUCCCCCUUUGUGGAUGAAGAGGCCAGCAGUUGUUGUUGUUGGUGGUGGUUGUGUUGGUGGUGUUUUUUAUCACUCCUGAACCUCACACCAGUAGCAGUCUGCUCCUGCUGAUCCCAGCCACUCCAGCUGCUGUCCCGCCUUGCAGCCUCCACUGCAACACUACUCUGGAUGUGAGGAGUUGGCUGGCCUUGAGGAACCUCAGAGAUGCUGGAGAAGGCGGCGAGGUUGCUUCAAAGCCACACUCAGUGACCAAUUGAGCAGGCAAGGCGAGGGAUGCACCAAGGAGUCCUGAAGUCAGCGGCAGCAGGGACGGAACAAGUACUGACCACAGCAACUGUCUCGAUGCCUCACUUCAACACUAACACCAGUGGUGGACAUUGGGACACAAAGUCA